AACGCACAUUGCGCCCGCCAGUAUUCUGGCGGGCAUGCCUGUUCGAGCGUCAUUUCAACCCUCAGGCCCCCAGUGCCUGGUGUUGGGGAUCGGCAGCAGGGCGUCAAGCCCGCCGUCCCCGAAAUCUAGUGGCGGUCUCGCUGUAGUCCUCCUCUGCGUAGUAGCACAACCUCGCAGCUGGAACGCGGCGGUGGCCAUGCCGUUAAACACCCCACUUCUGAAAGUUGACCUCGGAUCAGGUAGGAAUACCCGCUGAACUUAA
rnacentral:misc_RNA from 1 species